rnacentral:tRNA from 1 species
GACGCCGUAAGCAAAUCGGGCAAGCUACGGGGGCUGCCACCCCCGGUCUGUCGGUUCGAAUCCGACCGGCGUCU